UACGUAGGGGGCGAGCGUUGUCCGAAUUUACUGGGCGUAAAGAGCUUGUAGGCGGUUUGUCGCGUCUGCUGUGAAAUUUCGGGGCUCAACCCCGAACUUGCAGUGGGUACGGGCAGACUAGAGUGUGGUAGGGGAGACUGGAAUUCCUGGUGUAGCGGUGAAAUGCGCAGAUAUCAGGAGGAACACCGGUGGCGAAGGCGGGUCUCUGGGCCGUAACUGACGCUGAGGAGCGAAAGCGUGGGGAGCGAACAGG
rnacentral:rRNA from 1 species